rnacentral:rRNA from 1 species
CUACGGAGGGUGCAAGCGUUAAUCGGAAUUACUGGGCGUAAAGCGUGCGUAGGUGGUUUGUUAAGUUAGAUGUGAAAGCCCCGGGCUCAACCUGGGAACUGCAUUUGAAACUGGCAUACUAGAGUAUAGGAGAGGAAAGUGGAAUUUCAGGUGUAGCGGUGAAAUGCGUAGAUAUCUGAAGGAACAUCAAUGGCGAAGGCAGCUUUCUGGACUAAUACUGACACUGAGGUGCAAAAGCGUGGGUAGCAAACGGGAUUAGAAACCCCGGUAGUCC